rnacentral:lncRNA from 1 species
GUCUUUCAUGAAUUUCGCAUAGAUAGGCAUCUGCUCGAGUGCCUCAGAGAAUGGAAUAUUGAUUUCUAAUUUCCUGAACAACUCCAUGAAUUUCUGAAAAAAUUUCUCAUCUUGCUUCUUCUUUUUGUUUCUUUGUGGGAAAGGAAGCUUAAUGAUGGGUUUUGGUUCAGGGAGCUUUUCUUGUACCACCGGCGGUAUUACAAUUUCUUCCUCAGGUGGUGUCUUGUUUUCUAAGAUUUCCAGGUCCACUUCAAGC